rnacentral:rRNA from 1 species
UGAACGCUAGCGGGAGGCCUAACACAUGCAAGCCGAGCGGGAUUUGAGACUAGCUUGCUAGUCUUAAUGAGAGCGGCGUACGGGUGCGGAACACGUGUGCAACCUGCCUUUAUCUGGGAGAUAGCCUUUCGAAAGGAAGAUUAAUAUCCCAUAAUAUAAUGAUUGGCAUCAAUUAUUAUUGAAAGCUCCGGCGGAUAGAGAUGGGCACGCGCAAGAUUAGCUAGUUGGUGAGGUAACGGCUCACCAAGGCGAUGAUCUUUAGGGGGCCUGAGAGGGUGAUCCCCCACACUGGUACUGAGACACGGACCAGACUCCUACGGGAGGCAGCAGUGAGGAAUAUUGGUCAAUGGGUGCAAGCCUGAACCAGCCAUCCCGCGUGAAGGACGACUGCCCUAUGGGUUGUAAACUUCUUUUGUAUAGGGAUAAACCUACCCUCGUGAGGGUAGCUGAAGGUACUAUACGAAUAAGCACCGGCUAACUCC